rnacentral:rRNA from 1 species
UUGGAGGGCAAGUCUGGUGCCAGCAGCCGCGGUAAUUCCAGCUCCAAUAGCGUAUAUUAAAGUUGUUGCAGUUAAAAAGCUCGUAGUUGAAUUUCGGGGUUCUACCGUUGGUCGGGCUUUGUCUGUACUGGUGUGUAGAAUUUCUACCUUCUGGGGAACCAUCAUGCUAUUAAUUUAGCGUGGUGGGAAACCAGGACCUUUACCUUGAAAAAAUUAGUGUGUUCAAAGCAGGCUUAUGUCUGAAUACAUUAGCGUGGAAUAAUAGAAUAGGACGGUGGUCCUGUUUUGUUGGUUUCUGAAUCACCGUAAUGAUUAAUAGGGAUAGUUGGGGGCAUUAGUAUUCAAUCGUCAGAGGUGAAAUUCUUGGAUUUAUUGAAGACUAACUUCUGCGAAAGCAUUUGCCAAGGAUGUUUUCAUUAAUCAAGAACGAAAGAUAGGGGAUCGAAGACGAUCAGAUACCGUCGUAGUCUUAACCAUAAACUAUGCCGACUAGGGAUCGGACGAUGUUAAUUUUUCUUGACUCGUUCGGCGCCUUACGGGAAAC